rnacentral:rRNA from 1 species
GAUGAACGCUGGCGGCGUGCCUAAUACAUGCAAGUAGAACGCUGAAGGAGGAGCUUGCUCUUCUGGAUGAGUUGCGAACGGGUGAGUAACGCGUAGGUAACCUGCCUGGUAGCGGGGGAUAACUAUUGGAAACGAUAGCUAAUACCGCAUGACAACAGUUAUUGCAUGAUAACUGUUUAAAAGUGGCAACUGCUCCACUACCAGAUGGCCCUGCGUUGUAUUAGCUAGUUGGUGAGGUAACGGCUCACCAAGGCGACGAUACAUAGCCGACCUGAGAGGGUGAUCGGCCACACUGGGACUGAGACACGGCCCAGACUCCUACGGGAGGCAGCAGUAGGGAAUCUUCGGCAAUGGACGGAAGUCUGACCGAGCAACGCCGCGUGAGGGAAGAAGGUUUUCGGAUCGUAAAGCUCUGUUGUAAGAGAAGAACGAGUGUGAGAGUGGAAAGUUCACACUGUGACGGUAGCUUACCAGAAAGGGACGGCUAACUACGUG